AACGAACGCUGGCGGCGCGCUUAACACAUGCAAGUCGAGCGCCUCGGCUUUUUGCCGAGGAGCGGCGCACGGGUGAGUAACGCGUGGGAACCUACCUUGGGGUUCGGGACAACGGCGGGAAACCGCCGCUAACACCGGCUACGGCCGCCGCAAGGCGGCGAAAGGUGCGCAAGCACCGCCCCGGGACGGGCCCGCGUCCGGUUAGGUUGACGGCGGGGUAACGGCCCACCGGGCCUGCGAUCGGUAGCCGGUCUGAGAGGAUGAUCGGCCACACGGGGACUGAGACACGGCCCAGACUCCUACGGGUGGCAGCAGUGGGGAAUCUUGGACAAUGGGGGCAACCCUGAUCCAGCGACGCCGCGUGGGUGAUGAAGGCCUUCGGGUUGUAAAGAUCUUUCAGUGGGGAAGAUAAUGACUGUACCCACAGAAGAAGCCCCGGCUAACUCCGUGCCAGCCGCCGCAGUAAAAC
rnacentral:rRNA from 1 species